rnacentral:rRNA from 1 species
CCAUUAGAGGAACUUGUUCUAUAAUCGAUAAUCCUCGUUUUAUCUUACUUGAUUUUGUAUUCAGUAUGUAUAUCUCCGUUAUAAGUUUAUUUUUUUAGAAUUUAAUUUACUAAAAUAUUUAUUUUUAAUUAUUUCAGGUCAAGGUGCAGCUUAUAAUUAAGUUGAGAUGAGUUACAAUAUUAUUAAUAUAUGAAUUUUAAUUUGAAAUAUUUGGAUGAAGGUGGAUUUAAUAGUAAAUUUAUUUAUUGAAUUAAAUUGAAAUGGGUUCUAAAAUAAGCACACAUCGCCCGUCGCUCUA